rnacentral:rRNA from 1 species
GAUGAACGCUGGCGGCGUGCUUAACACAUGCAAGUCGAGCGAAGCGCUUAAGUUUGAUUCUUCGGAUGAAGACUUUUGUGACUGAGCGGCGGACGGGUGAGUAACGCGUGGGUAACCUGCCUCAUACAGGGGGAUAACAGUUAGAAAUGACUGCUAAUACCGCAUAAGACCACGGUACCGCAUGGUACAGUGGUAAAAACUCCGGUGGUAUGAGAUGGACCCGCGUCUGAUUAGGUAGUUGGUGGGGUAACGGCCUACCAAGCCGACGAUCGGUAGCCGGCCUGAGAGGGUGACCGGCCACAUUGGGACUGAGACACGGCCCAGACUCCUACGGGAGGCAGCAGUGGGGAAUAUUGCACAAUGGAGGAAACUCUGAUGCAGCGACGCCGCGUGAAGGAUGAAGUAUUUCGGUAUGUAAACUUCUAUCAGCAGGGAAGAAAAUGACGGUACCUGACUAAGAAGCCCCGGCUAACUACGUGCCAGCCGCCGCGGUAACAC